CGAACGCUGGCGGCAGGCCUAAUACAUGCAAGUCGAACGGCUCUUCGGAGCAGUGGCGGACGGGUGAGUAACGCGUGGGAAUGUGCCCUUAGGUACGGAACAACACAGGGAAACUUGUGCUAAUACCGUAUGUGCCCUUCGGGGGAAAGAUUUAUCGCCUUUGGAGCAGCCCGCGUUGGGUUAGCUAGUUGGUGAGGUAAAGGCUCACCAAGGCGACGAACCAUAGCUGGGCUGAGUGGAUGACCGGCCACACUGGGACUGAGACACGGCCCAGACUACUACGGGAGGCAGCAGUCGGGAAUUUUGGGCAAUGGGCGAAAGCCUGACCCAGCAACGCCGCGUGAAGGAUGAAGCAUUUCGGUAUGUAAACUUCGAAAGAAUAGGAAGAAUAAAUGACGGUACUAUUUAUAAGCUCCGGCUAACUACGUGCCAGCCGCCGCAGUAAAAC
rnacentral:rRNA from 1 species